GACGAACGCUGGCGGCGUGCUUAACACAUGCAAGUCGAACGGAAAGGCCCUGCUUGCCGGGUGCUCGAGUGGCGAACGGGUGAGUAACACGUGGGUGAUCUGCCCCUUACUUUGGGAUAAGCCUGGGAAACUGGGUCUAAUACUGGAUAGGACCAUGCUGUAGGCGGUGUGGUGGAAAGAUUAGUUUCGGUAAGGGAUGAGCUCGCGGCCUAUCAGCUUGUUGGUGGGGUAAUGGCCUACCAAGGCGUCGACGGGUAGCCGGCCUGAGAGGGUGGACGGCCACAUUGGGACUGAGAUACGGCCCAGACUCCUACGGGAGGCAGCAGUGGGGAAUAUUGCACAAUGGGCGCAAGCCUGAUGCAGCGACGCCGCGUGGGGGGUGACGGCCUUCGGGUUGUAAACUCCUUUCAGCCAUGACGAAGCCCUUGUGGUGACGGUAGUGGUAGAAGAAGCACCGGCUAACUACGUG
rnacentral:rRNA from 1 species